rnacentral:lncRNA from 1 species
AAAAAAUUCACAAGUUUUGAGCUUUUGCAAAACUUGAUCACAUUUUUCAAUUUUACUGAUUCGAACUGAAUUUUUUGCCAUCGGACAAAAAUUCCCUUAUUCCUUUUCUUUCUCUCUUCUUUUUUCUCUCUCUUCUUUUUUCUCCUUCACCAUUUUUUCCUCCGCCAUCCGCUCUGCCCGGCGCCCGCUCCCCCCUGGAAUCCUUCGGCCGCUCUUCGCCAUGCUGUCCGCCAACCUCUUCCGCCCUCUCCCGCUACCCGCCUCCCCCUGCUACCGCCACCCCCCUCCUCCAGAAUCCCUCCUCCAAGACGACGACUCCCCCGUCGCAUCCCUCGCACCGCUGUGGCCACACCUCAGCAUCGCCUACGACAUCCUGUCGGCAUCGAU